AGUGAACGCUGGCGGUAGGCCUAACACAUGCAAGUCGAACGGCAGCACAGUCAGAGCUUGCUCUUACGGGUGGCGAGUGGCGGACGGGUGAGGAAUACAUCGGAAUCUACUUUUUCGUGGGGGAUAACGUAGGGAAACUUACGCUAAUACCGCAUACGACCUACGGGUGAAAGCAGGGGAUCUUCGGACCUUUCGCGAUUGAAUGAGCCGAUGUCGGAUUAGCUAGUUGGCGGGGUAAAGGCCCACCAAGGCGACGAUCCGUAGCUGGUCUGAGAGGAUGAUCAGCCACACUGGAACUGAGACACGGUCCAGACUCCUACGGGAGGCAGCAGUGGGGAAUAUUGGACAAUGGGCGCAAGCCUGAUCCAGCCAUACCGCGUGGGUGAAGAAGGCCUUCGGGUUGUAAAGCCCUUUUGUUGGGAAAGAAAAGCAGCAGGUUAAUACCCCGCUGUUCUGACGGUACCCAAAGAAUAAGCACCGGCUAACUUCGUG
rnacentral:rRNA from 1 species